rnacentral:lncRNA from 1 species
GGAGAAUUCUGCACCAAUAGAAUUGGCGCUAGAAGGAGGGCCUGUGUCUUCGCAAGACCCUUGUUCUUAAAGGAGUACUCAAUGAGACUGUCUCCGGUCAUCUUUUUCGACAUCCUCUUCUUCUUCUCCGGUCAGAUCUCAACUUGAUACCUCCCCAAAAGACAUCCACCAGACGAUCUACGGCCUCCAUGGUCAGAUCUCAGCAAGAUCCGCCAGCUCCGACCUCAUCUCCAGUUUCUCAGGCUCCUCCUCCUCCGGCAACGGCAGUCAGUAUGGAGUAGUUCGACCUGCUGGUUCAGCAGGUCAGGGGCCUCACCGAAGCGGUGCAGACCAUACAGCAGCAGCAGCAGCUACAGACAUCUGUGCGGCUGAAAAGAGUAUCGCCAGAGUUUCAGAAUCUGAUGAUCGGGCGGCCCACUUGGGCCAGUCGCCCUGUAUCCCCUGAAAAUGGAAAGCAAAGGGCGGAGAGCCCUCUGUCUGAUCAUGAUUCCACCCCCGGAGGGUCCCUACCUCCGUUAUGUCAGAAGACCCUCGAGAUUUGUGAUCGAGAAGAUCUCCUGAAUCAAAUGUUCCAAGAGAUGAACCUAC